rnacentral:rRNA from 1 species
UACAGAGGGGGCAAGCGUUGUUCGGAAUCACUGGGCUUAAAGGGCGCGUAGGCGGGUGCUCAAGUCCGGGGUGAAAUCCUCCAGCUCAACUGGAGAACUGCCUCGGAUACUGGGUGCCUCGAGGGUGGUAGGGGUAUGCGGAACUAUCGGUGGAGCGGUGAAAUGCGUUGAUAUCGAUAGGAACUCCGGUGGCGAAGGCGGCAUACUGGACCACUUCUGACGCUGAGGCGCGAAAGCCAGGGGAGCAAACGGG